rnacentral:sRNA from 1 species
GCUGGGUGUGGUGGCGCGCGCCUGUAAUCCUGGCUACUCAGGAGGCUGAGGCAGGAGAAUUGCUUGAACCCGGGAGGUGGAGGUUGUUGUGAGCCGAGAUCGUGCCAUUGCAUUCUAGCCUGGGUGACAGAGCGAGACUCUGUCUCAA